rnacentral:rRNA from 1 species
GACGAACGCUGGCGGCGUGCUUAACACAUGCAAGUCGAACGGAAAGGCCCUGCUUUUGUGGGGUGCGCGAGUGGCGAACGGGUGAGUAACACGUGAGUAACCUGCCCUUGACUUUGGGAUAACUUCAGGAAACUGGGGCUAAUACCGGAUAGGAGCUCCUGCUGCAUGGUGGGGGUUGGAAAGUUUCGGCGGUUGGGGAUGGACUCGCGGCUUAUCAGCUUGUUGGUGGGGUAGUGGCUUACCAAGGCUUUGACGGGUAGCCGGCCUGAGAGGGUGACCGGCCACAUUGGGACUGAGAUACGGCCCAGACUCCUACGGGAGGCAGCAGUGGGGAAUAUUGCACAAUGGGCGGAAGCCUGAUGCAGCAACGCAGCGUGCGGGAUGACGGCCUUCGGGUUGUAAACCGCUUUCGCCUGUGACGAAGCGUGAGUGACGGUAAUGGGUAAAGAAACACCGGCUAACUACGUG